UACGUAGGGGGCAAGCGUUGUCCGGAUUUAUUGGGCGUAAAGAGCGUGUAGGCGGCCAGACAGGUCCGUUGUGAAAACUCGAGGCUCAACCUCGAGACGCCGAUGGAAACCGUCUGGCUAGAGUCCGGAAGAGGAGAGUGGAAUUCCUGGUGUAGCGGUGAAAUGCGCAGAUAUCAGGAAGAACACCAACGGCGAAGGCAGCUCGCUGGGACGGUACUGACGCUGAGACGCGAAAGCGUGGGGAGCGAACAGG
rnacentral:rRNA from 1 species